GCAAGUCGAGCGAGUACGAAACCCGUUCGGGGUGGAGUUAGCCGGCGGACGGGUGAGUAACACGUGGGUAACCUGCCUCAUAGGAGGGGGAUAGCCUCCGAAAGGGAGAUUAAUACCGCAUAAUGUAUUUUGUUCGCAUGAAUAAAAUAUCAAAGGAGUAAUCCACUAUGAGAUGGACCCGCGGCGCAUUGGCUAGUUGGUGAGGUAACGGCUCACCAAGGCGACGAUGCGUAGCCGACCUGAGAGGGUGAUCGGCCACAUUGGAACUGAGACACGGUCCAGACUCCUACGGGAGGCAGCAGUGGGGAAUAUUGCGCAAUGGGGGAAACCCUGACGCAAGCAACGCCGCGUGAAUGAUGAAGGCCUUAGGGUUGUAAAGUUCUGUCUUCUGGGACGAUAAUGACGGUACCAGAGGAGGAAGCCACGGCUAACUACGUGCCAGCAGCCGC
rnacentral:rRNA from 1 species